rnacentral:misc_RNA from 1 species
GAUGAAGAACGCAGCGAAAUGCGAUAAGUAGUGUGAAUUGCAGAAUUCAGUGAAUCAUCGAAUCUUUGAACGCACAUCGCGCCCCUUGGUAUUCCAUGGGGCAUGCCUGUUCGAGCGUCAUUUGUACCUUCAAGCUCUGCUUGGUGUUGGGUGUUUGUCUCGCCUCUGCGUGUAGACUCGCCUCAAAACAAUUGGCAGCCGGCGUAUUGAUUUCGGAGCGCAGUACAUCUCGCGCUUUGCACUCAUAACGACGACGUCCAAAAGUACAUUUUUACACUCUUGACCUCGGAUCAGGUAGGGAUACCCGCUGAACUUAAGCAUAUCAAUAAGCGGAGGA